rnacentral:rRNA from 1 species
AGAUGACGACCGGCGCACGGGUGAGUAACACGUAUCCAACCUGCCGAUAACUCGGGGAUAGCCUUUCGAAAGAAAGAUUAAUACCCGAUGGCAUAAUUAGACCGCAUGGUCUUAUUAUUAAAGAAUUUCGGUUAUCGAUGGGGAUGCGUUCCAUUAGGCAGUUGGUGAGGUAACGGCUCACCAAACCUUCGAUGGAUAGGGGUUCUGAGAGGAAGGUCCCCCACAUUGGAACUGAGACACGGUCCAA